rnacentral:piRNA from 1 species
GAGUAGAUAGGAGUUGGGAUAGGGUGUG